rnacentral:rRNA from 1 species
CCCUUAGAUGUUCUGGGCUGCACGCGUGCUACAAUGGCGCUUGCAACAAGUCUUGCCAACCCGAUAGGGUGAGCGGAUCUUUGAAGAGGCGUCGUGAUCGGGACAGUUGAUUGCAAUUAUUCGACUCGAACGAGGAAUUCCUUGUAAUCGUGAUUCAUCAUAUCGCGCUGAAUACGUCCCUGCCCUUUGUACACACCGCCCGUCGCUCCUACCGAUUGAGCGAUCCGGUGAAUGUUUUGGACUGGCGUCAGAAGCGGUUCGCUCCUGACACUACGAAAUUUUGUAAACCUUAUCGCUUAGAGGAAGGAAAAGUCGUAACA